CCCAGGUUCAAUUGCCAGUACCACAAAGGGAGGAAAAAAGUUUACUUUGGCUCAUAGUUAUGGCAGAAGAUUUAGAGGCCACAUCUGGUGAUGGCCUUCUUGCUGGCAGAGUCCCCAGGAAGCAUGGGGCCUCACAUGGCAAGAGACAGGGACCUUGGCAGACACCUAGCCAAACUUUUUUUUUUUUUUUUUAAGCGCUGGGGAUUAAACCCAGGGCUUUGUGUAUGCAAGGCAGGCAAUCUGCCAAUCAAGCUAUAUCCCCAUCCCACAAACUCACUCUUGAGAUAACCCAUUUACCCAUUAACCCACGGAUCACAUGAGUCCCCAGACUCACAUGAGAUAUUCUUUGUAUGUGUGUGUGUGUGUGGUGCUGGGGAUGGAACCCAGGGCCUUGUGCAUGCAAGGCAAGCACUCUACUAACAGACCUAUGUCCCCAGCCCACAAGGUGAAGGAUGCUGUUACUUGCUACCACAGGAAUACAUCAGGCUGCUCCCUCUAGCAACAUAAUAACUUUAGAUAAAUUUUAAUAAUAUCUAUACCAGCAGUGAGACUGCUGCUUGCUGUGUGACCUUGGGCAUAGCACAUCUCUGAGCCUUACUUUCCUCUUUAUUAUAUCACAUCCAUCUGAAAUGACUUUGUUUCUUGUUGAUUACCUUCCUUCCCCAUUACAGUGUCACAUCCUUGAGAGCGGAGACUUUGUUUCUCUCAUCCGUCUUGAACCCAGCAUAGAGCAGGUGUUUAGUUAAACAUCUGGGGUGCAGUGGUGCACACCUGUGAUGCCAGCUACUUGGGAGCCUGAGGCAGGAGGGAUUGCAAGUUUGAAGACUUUUGUUGUUGAUGAUACUGGGAUUGAACUCAGGGACUUGUGCAUGGUAGGCAAGCACUCUACCACUGAACCACAUCCCCAGCCCAGAAUCAAAAGUUUGUGGGCAACUCAGCAAGACCAUCUCUCAAAGUAAAAUUUUUUUACAAAGGGCUGGGAUGUAGCUCAGUGGUAGAGCACCUGCCCAGAAUGCACAAGUCCCUGGGAUAGAUCACCAGCAUUGACAGGAAAAAAAAAAAGAAUGAAUAGGGCCAGGUGUGGUGGUGCACACCUAUAAUCCCAGCAUCUUGGGAGGCUGAGGCAGGAGGAUCCAGUGUUCAAAGCCAGCCUCAGUAAUUUAGCAAGGCCCUAAACAACUCAGUGAGAUCCUGUCUCUAAUGAAAUAUAAAAAGAGCAGGUAUGUGGCUUGGUGGUUAAGCACCCCUGGGUCCAGUCCCCUGUACCAAAAAAAAAAAAAUAAGAAGAAAUAAAGAAUGAGUAGGGAGAUUGAGCCCUGCAGGAGGCAUCUGGAGAGAUUGCUGGGAGGUUGGGAGGAGGCCAGUAGGCUGCUCAGAGCCUCAGGCAGAGCCAGGAACAGUGGGCCUUGGUGUUAGAAGCCUCUGAGGUCACUGCUCUCCCGCUCCCUUGUCCUGGGACCUCAGGCCGGUUUGAAGCCUCUGUGAUCGAGGAGCGGAGAAAGGGGGCCGAAGAGCUGCUUCGCUUCACCGUGCACAUCCCUGCACUCAACAACAGCCCCCAGCUCAAGGAGUUCUUCCGGGUAUGUGCACCUGCCCUUCCUACCACCCCAGCACCUGGAAAGCUUACCUGCCCACCAAGCUACACUCCCUCUGUUGGUCUUUCUGCAGGGUGGGGAGGUGACACGGCCCUGCGAAGUGUCCAGAGACCUGCACAUUCUACCACCCCCUCUGAUCCCCACACCACCCCCUGAUGAGCCUCGGUUGCCCCAGCCACUUCCUGCAGAAAGGAGGGGCCUAGAGGAGUUGGAGGUGUCAGGUACAUGAGAAUGGGGGGAGGAAGCCAGAAUUGGGGGACAGGAAGGCAGGGCUCCACACUCCUAUCCCUACCUGUGAUCAUAGUGACAACCCUGUCGUGUCCCGUGCACCUGCUGAGGUCUUUGGAUAGGUCAUUUCCUGUCUUUAGUUUCAGUUUCUUAAUCUGUAAAAUGGGCACAGACCCUGAUGAUGGGCUUGUCUAGGCCUAUUGCUGCAAGGACUUACUGAGAGGAUCAUCCCAUUUUGAACUCUGGCGAGUGGUUUAUGUGCAGGUGUUAAUAUCCCAAUGGUCUGUCCUCAGCGGACCCCCCGCCGUCCAGCCCUGCCCAGGAGGCUCUGGAUCUUCUCUUCAACUGUGGCAGCACAGAGGAGGCAUCCGGCUCCCCUGCCCAGGGCCCUCUCUCUGAGGCUGAGCUUGCUCUCUUUGACCCCUUCUCCAAGGAAGGUAAGGAGCAGGGGCAGGCAGGGCAGGGGUUGCAGUAGCAGGUCCUUGGGGGCAAAAGAGGAGGCAGGACCACCAGCCAGCUGUUUGCAACUGUGUAAAUCUGAGCAAGUUGUCCCUGUACAGUGAGCAACCAUUGGGGAAGGAGAUGAGCCAUUUCUCCCUAUGAAAGCUUGGAAGAGCAGGGUCACAUUGCUCUGGAAGGUUUUAGCCUGUCCUGCAAGUCCAAGGUGGGGCUUCCUGGCUGGCUCAGGGUCCCCUGCAGAUCCUGGAGGUAGGAGAAGCCUGUCAGUGGGCUCAAAGAGCAGCAGCCAAGGGAAGCCACUGUGCCUUGGAGGCCACCAGAAGCAGAUGAGCUCCCCACAUGGGGCAGGGUCCUGAGCACUUUCCUGCUCUGAGACCAGGAACAUGAUAGUUCCCAACAGUGAGACACUGGGUUUUUCAUUCAGAAAUUCUCCAAGCUUCUGCUGUAACUGCAACCCAGGUGUUAAAGUGGUCAAUCUCACUUUGGGAUGAUCGUGAAACAGUUUCUCUUUUUAUUCCUUAGGAGUGUUUUUUUUUUUUUAAAUAUUUAUUUAUUUAUUUUAGUUUUUGGCGGACACAACAUCUUUGUUUGUAUGUGGUGCUGAGGAUCGAACCCGGGCCGCAGGCACACCAGGCGAGCGCGCUACCGCUUGAGCCACAUCCCUAGCCCCCCUUAGGAGUGUUUUUAAGCUGGUUUUGUUGGCCCUCCUUGUUUGCCCUUUGGUGGCCUUGAGGGCUGACCCCCCACCUUCUGAUGAGUUUCAGGCAUCUGAGGCCCAGCCUAGGAGAGGAAACAGCCUAGGCCAGCCUGUGUCAGCUCCCAUCUAGCUGUCAGCCUCACCUUCCCCCUGGCUCAGGCCAGUGGCCAGUGGCCAGUGGCCAGGCCAGCAAGUGACAAGGGUGUGAGGAGCUUGCUUUUGCUUGUUCUUCUUCCACACCUCCAAGGUUGGGGAAGGGGGAGAAUGGAUUGGGGGACAGAAGUGGUGGUAUCACCGGGGAUGUUGUACCAUCCUCUGAGUGGCAGGCACCCAGAUUCCCUGGCCCAGCUGAGCUCUCUAGGGUUCCUGGUGGAGGAUAGGACAGCCACUGGCAGUUGCUGUUUUUUUUUUUUCUUUUGGUACCAGGGAUUGAACCCAGGCGCUUUAAUACUGAGCCACAUCCCCAGCCCUUUUUAUAUUUUAUUUAGAGACAGGGUCUCACCAAGUUGUUUAAGGCCUAAGUUGUUGAGGCUGGCCUUAAACUUGUGAUCCUCCUGCCUCAGCCUCCUGAGAUGCUAGGAUUACAGGUGUGCGCCACCACACCCGGCUUGGCAGUUGCUUUGAAAGGCCCUUUACAGGUUGCACCCCUGAAACAUUUACUGUGUCCAUAGGAAAAUUCCCCAAUCCUUGUGUCCCUGUUGCUGAAGUGCAGUGUGCUCAGGCACUUCCUUCCCUCCUGCUCCCCAACAGUCGUGUAUGCCAGGAGCCAGCACCCCAUCUCUCUCUUUUUUUUGUUUAUUUAUUUAUUUAUUUAUUUAUUUAUAUUUUAGAUGUUGAUGAACCUUUAUUUUAUUUAUUUUUAUGUGGUGCUCAGGAUCGAGCCCAGUGCCUCACACUUGCUAGUCUGGCACUCUACCAUUGAGCCACAACCCCAGCCCCACCCCUGCCUCUCUUCUUCAGACACUAAGCUCCUGACCUCAAGUAUUUAGGGGCUCCACAAACUCUUGCACUCCCUGCUUCCUGAGCAACACAGGGAGGGCUCUAGGCCCAGCUGGGAGGGGCGACAUCCUCCUGCCUUCCUGCCACUCAUCUCUUCAUGGAUCUCCUGGGACUCCCCAUUUGGAUGGGGCCGGAGAAAUGCCCACUCGUGCGUUCCCUCUCCAGGACAGGAAUGCCAUGGUGCUCCCUGCUCCUGUACCUUCCUGUCAAAGGCCUCUUCUCAAAAGACUCACUGACUCUGUAGCCACCUCAUAUGAAAGCCACAGGGAGGAUCUCUGACCACCUCCAGGACGUCAUGAGCCCUUCAGCCUGGAACAUGAAGAUGCCAGUUGCCCACUGCCCCUCGCCCUGGGGUUCUCAGCUGAGAUUUCAAGAUCUUGAAAAAGUCCUGGCGAGGGCUGGGGUUGUGGCUCAGGGGUAGAGCACUCGCUUAGCAUGUGUGAAGCACUGGGUUUAGUUCUCAGCCCCACAUAAAAAUUAAUAAAUUUUUACAACUACAACUGAAAAAAAAAAAAAAGAAAAAAGAAAAAUCCCCGGAGGGUGUAGCUUGCCUAGCAUGUGCAAGACCCUGGGUUCGAUCCCCAGCACUGUCAAAAAAAAGAAGGACGGAAGGAAAGCAGCAUUUUCACCCUUAGCCUGAUAGCUGGUCUACCAUCCUGUAACUGAACUUGUGGAGAAACUUUUGCAUUCCUAGGCCAACCGGAGUCAGGAAAGAAAUAGGACCAGUGAGUGACCCAGAGCUCAAUAAGAAAAAAUUAGUGUAUACCUAAAGAAUUAGGAGGGUAGGACUCUUUUUGCUAUACUCAAGUGGCUUCUAGACUGUCCAGGCCCUGCACCCCUCCGCUGAGGACACACUGGUACCUAGAUGGGUCACAGAGGUUUCGGAGGGGUCAACAGUCCCUGGGAAAUGAAGGGCCAGUAAGGCUUGAAUGCUCUUUUUCUGAUUGCAGAAGGCGCAGGCCCCAGUCCCACCCACAUAGGUGAGCUGGCAGCCAUGGAAGUAGAGUCCACGAGGCUGAACCAGGAGCCCUGGGAGCCAGGAGGGCAGGAGGAAGAAGAGGACGGAGGAGGGCCUCGCCCUGCCUAUCUUAGCCAGGCCACAGAGCUCAUCACCCAGGCCCUGCGGGACGAGAAGGCAGGCGCCUACCCUGCUGCUCUCCAGGGCUACCGAGAUGGUGUGCACAUUCUGCUCCAGGGGGUGCCCAGUGAGUAGGGGCUGGAGGGUAGAGGGUCAGGCCUGGGGUCCUAGAUGGAGCAGUAAGGAGGGGAAAGUGAAAAGCAAGCAAGGACCAGGAGCCUUUCUCCUCACUGCCUGAUGACCAUGUCACUUUGAGAAGAUUAUUUUCCUUCCUCUUGGUGGCUUCAGUUUUCUUUUUAGUAGAAUGGGGAGGAGAGACAUGGUAAGUCCCAGGGAAGGGAGAAGGACACAUGAUGCUGCUCUGUGAACCGUAAGGGCUAGACCAGGGGUUCUGGGCUCAAGUACUCAGCUGAGCCAAUCUCUCCACAGGUGACCCGUCCCCUGCCCGCCGGGAAGGUGUGAAGAAGAAGGCAGCUGAGUACCUAAAGCGGGCUGAAGAGAUUCUACACCUGCACCUGUCUCAACUGCCGCCCUGAGGAGUGGGCCUUCCAUAGGACUCUAGCUCCAGCACUGCCAGCCUCCCCCUCUCCUUCCCCAGCAACCCCAGGGGCCAUUUCUGUACGUAACUGGACCAAGGAACACAAUGGCUCCCUGCCUGCCUGCCUUCUUGGAGUCAGGACUCUAUAUGUGCCAGUAUCUAUCAUGAUGUGGCAGCAGCAGGUCUCGUCAUUAAAACUUGUCAGUUUAGCCAUCUGGAACUGGGGUCUGCAGACUGCAGCCUACAGCCAGAUCUGGCUCAUCACCUACCUUUUUUUUAAGGCCCACAGGCUAGAAUGGUUGCUACAUCUUUUUAAUGGUGUGUGUGAUGGGGAAUCAAAUGAGUAAGAGUCUGUGACUAGUGAAAAUUAAAUGAGGGCUGAGGUUGUAACUCAGUGGUGGAGAGCUUACCUGGCACUUGUGAGGCACUGGGUUCGAUCCUCAGCACCACAUAAAAAUAAAGGUAUUGUGUCCAUCAACAACUAAAAGAAUUUAAAAAAUAAUAAUAAAAUGAAAGUUAAGUGUCUAUGAAUAAAAAUUGUUGGAACAUAACCAGGCUCAACCACAUCUAUGGCUGCAACCAGCAGAUUUGAGUAAGGCGACCAGCAAAUCCCAAAACAGUUUUUCUUUUUUCUCCAUCAUUCUGAGGAUUGAAACCCGGGUCUCAGGCUUUCUAAGCACACCCACUAGAUCUAUCUGUCUGUCUGUCUGUCUUUCUCUCUCUCUUUCUCUAAUGUUUUAGUUGUCAAUGGACCUUUAUUUAAUUUUUAUGCGGUGCUGAGUAUCAAACCCAGUGCCUCACACAUGGUAGGCAAGCGCUUUACUCCUGAGCCACAACCCCAAAACCCCUCUCCGCCUCUUUUCUGUUCUUUUGCGAGUGGGUCUAAGUUGCCCAGGUUGGCCUGGAACUUGUCCUCAUGCCUCAGCCUCCCUCCUCAGGACUGCAUCCUCGGACCGCUGCACCUAUCCCAAGACAUUUUCUACUUGACUCUUUGCAAAAAAAAAAAAAUAAUAAUUGCUGGGAGCCAUUAGCCAAGUAGGUAUGACAAUUUCCUUGCCAGCGUACCCCAUGUUGCUGACAUGUUGCAGUGACAUUAUAUGUAGGUGACCUUGCUCAAGGACCAAGGCAGAUUAGGGUGUUCCCGGUUUUAAGAUAAUCGUGUUUAGGGCGUUCCCAGUUUAGGUUCCAGGUUUAAGGUUUAAGAUUAUUCCUGCUGGGAAUAGGGCGUAUCCUGCUGCCUGAGUUCCCCUUGAGUUCUCACGGGAUUCAGACAGUAUAUUUUGGGAGAUAGAAGCCCAGUGGAGGGGGAUUUGGGCAGAGAACGUGGAUUUGGGAAGAGAACGUGGAUUUCCCCAGAACGUGAUUGUAGACGGCUGGUGUGAGUUCAGGAAUAAAGAGUUGCUGUUUGAAUCUACAAGCUGUGUGGUGGCUCGUGAUUGUGUGCCCAGCCAGACUGUGGCAUUUGUGCCCAGCCAGACUGCGGCAUUUGGCGUCCCGUGCGGGGAACUUCUGAAGCUUAGAGGUAAGUGAAAUUGCUCGCCCCUGAGGAAGAGCGAAAGAAUGGGUGACCAACUCAAAAAACAAUGUGUUAUUGUUUUGAUUUAUCUUGUUUUUGUUUCAAGCUGCCUAUCCCUAGAAAUUUCUCAGGCAAACUGGAAAAAAUGGUUGACUAAAGGUUUGAAGUUUGUCGGCCCUGAGGAAGAGAAAAUUGAUACAACGAUUUUUUAUUCCGUUUUUGUUUCAUUCAGUUUCGGCUUUGUUUUGUGCUAUCUUAUUGGGUUGCGUUAUCUUUAUAGUAGAUUAGAAAUUAGUAAAAAACAAACCGAAAAGAUGUUAAGUAAAUUGUUAGAGGUUCAGACCAUGGAGAAAGACAUUUUAGAUCAAGCAAAAGAGAAGGUCUCUCGAGCUAGUCAGACAGAGGAAGAAAAUUUAAAGGAAAAGGGGUUGUUAGGAAAAAGGCCACAACAGGAGGCUGUUACUAACUCCAUUUUAUCACAAGAGGGCGUAAUUCAACCAACAGCCCCACCGAUGGAGACAGCUGAGUGGCCCUCAAACCCCGUAGUUGAUAAAUGGGAUCCUGAGACAGGACCUCAAAGAUUAGCAUGCCCUGUACUUGAACAGGCAGGAGGGCAGCGAAUUCACCGUGCUUUAGAUUUUAAAACAGUGAAGCAGUUAAAGGAGGCUGUAACAACCUAUGGUCCCCAAGCUCCCUUCACGGUAAGCAUGGUUGAGUCCAUUACUAACUUGGACAUGACGCCAGCAGAUUGGGCUAGCAUGUGUAAAUCUGUACUAAAUGGAGGACAAUAUUUGUUAUGGAAGGUUGCCAAUGAGGAAUUUUGCACGGAGACAGCUAGGCGAAAUGCAGCAGCCGGUUACCCUCAAAGAAAUCUAGAUAUGUUGUUAGGAAAAGGACCUUAUGAGGGUCAACGGCAACAAAUUGAAUAUGAUCCUGCUAUAUAUGCACAAAUUGCUGCAGACGCAGUUAGGGCAUGGAAGACUUUACAAGGACAUGGAGAUUUACAAGGUCAGCUAUCUAAGGUAAUACAGAGAGCUAAUGAACCUUACGCUGACUUUGUAGAUAGGCUAAUUCAAACGGCUGCCAAAAUUUUUGGGGAUACAGAACAAGCAAUGCCAUUAAUAAAACAACUGGCUUAUGACCAAGCAAAUCGUUGCUGCAGAGAGGUUAUUAGACCAUGGAGACAUGAAGAUUUAAACACAUAUAUUAAAUUAUGUAGAGAUAUUAAUGAACAAGGGCAAGUCUUGGCAGCUGCAGUACAACAGGCUUUAGAUGCCAGGCCAAAAACAUGCUAUGAUUGUGAACAAACAGGACAUUUUAAA
rnacentral:lncRNA from 1 species